rnacentral:rRNA from 1 species
ACAGGUUAGGCUGGGUGCUUUAAGGGGACUCACCGGUAUGAAGCCGGAGGAAGGUGGGGACGACGUCAGAGUCCUCAUGGCCCUUGCGUCUGGGGCGACACACGUGCUACAAUGGGCAGGACAGCGGGGAGCGACCUUGCGAGGGGGAGCGUAAUCCCGAAACCUGUUCUCAGUUCGGAUUGGAGUCUGCAACUCGACUUCAUGAAGUUGGAAUCGCUAGUAAUCGCGGAUCAGCAUGCCACGGUGAAUACGUUCCCGGGCCUUGUACACACCGCCCGUCACACCACGAAAGUUGAGUGUACCCGAAGUCGCUGGGCGAACCCUUUUUGGGGGCGCAGGUGCCGAAGGUAUGCUGAGCGAUUGGGGUGAAGUCGUAACAA